rnacentral:rRNA from 1 species
CUUACCAUGCAAGUCGAACGAUGAAACUCUAGCUUGCUAGAGAUGAUUAGUGGCGGACGGGUGAGUAACAUUUAGGAAUCUGCCUAGUAGUGGGGGAUAGCUCGGGGAAACUCGAAUUAAUACCGCAUACGACCUACGGGUGAAAGGGGGCGCAAGCUCUUGCUAUUAGAUGAGCCUAAAUCAGAUUAGCUAGUUGGUGGGGUAAAGGCCCACCAAGGCGACGAUCUGUAACUGGUCUGAGAGGAUGAUCAGUCACACCGGAACUGAGACACGGUCCGGACUCCUACGGGAGGCAGCAGUGGGGAAUAUUGGACAAUGGGGGCAACCCUGAUCCAGCCAUGCCGCGUGUGUGAAGAAGGCCUUUUGGUUGUAAAGCACUUUAAGCAGGGAGGAGAGGCUAAUGGUUAAUACCCAUUAGAUUAGACGUUACCUGCAGAAUAAGCACCGGCUAACUCUGUGCCAGCAGCCGCGGUAAU